GAUGAACGCUGGCGGCGUGCCUAAUACAUGCAAGUCGAGCGAACAGACGAGGAGCUUGCUCCCCUGACGUUAGCGGCGGACGGGUGAGUAACACGUGGAUAACCUACCUAUAAGACUGGGAUAACUUCGGGAAACCGGAGCUAAUACCGGAUAAUAUCUUGAACCGCAUGGUUCAAUAGUGAAAGACGAUUUUGCUGUCACUUAUAGAUGGAUCCGCGCCGCAUUAGCUAGUUGGUAAGGUAACGGCUUAACAAGGCGACGAUUCGUAGCCGACCUGAGAGGGUGAUCGGCCACACUGGAACUGAGACACGGUCCAGACUCCUACGGGAGGCAGCAGUAGGGAAUCUUCCGCAAUGGGCGAAAGCUUGACGGAGCAACGCCGCGUGAGUGAUGAAGGUCUUCGGAUCGUAAAACUCUGUUAUUAGGGAAGAACAAAUGUGUAAGUAACUAUGCACGUCUUGACGGUACCUAAUCAGAAAGCCACGGCUAACUACGUG
rnacentral:rRNA from 1 species